GAUGAACGCUGGCGGCGUGCUUAACACAUGCCAGUCGAACGGAAAGGCUCCUGCUUGCAGGGGUACUCGAGUGGCGAACGGGUGAGUAACACGUGGGUGAUCUGCCCUUCACUUCGGGAUAAGCCUGGGAAACUGGGUCUAAUACCGGAUAGGACGAUGGUUUGGAUGCCAUUGUGGAAAGUUUUUCGGUGUGGGAUGAGCUCGCGGCCUAUCAGCUUGUUGGUGGGGUAAUGGCCCACCAAGGCGUCGACGGGUAGCCGGCCUGAGAGGGUGUACGGCCACAUUGGGACUGAGAUACGGCCCAGACUCCUACGGGAGGCAGCAGUGGGGAAUAUUGCACAAUGGGCGCAAGCCUGAUGCAGCGACGCCGCGUGGGGGAUGACGGCCUUCGGGUUGUAAACUCCUUUCGCUAGGGACGAAGCGCAAGUGACGGUACCUGGAGAAGAAGCACCGGCUAACUACGUG
rnacentral:rRNA from 1 species